GAUUUUUGAUCAUGGCUCAGAUUGAACGCUAGAAAAAAGGCCUAACACAUGCAAGUCGAGCGGUAACAGAAAGUAGCUUGCUACUUUGCUGACGAGCGGCGGACGGGUGAGUAAUGCCUGGGAAUUUGCCCAUUCGAGGGGGAUAACAGUUGGAAACGACUGCUAAUACCGCAUACGCCCUACGGGGGAAAGGAGGGGACCUUCGGGCCUUCCGCGAAUGGAUAAGCCCAGGUGGGAUUAGCUAGUAGGUGAGGUAAUGGCUCACCUAGGCGACGAUCCCUAGCUGUUCUGAGAGGAUGAUCAGCCACACUGGGACUGAGACACGGCCCAGACUCCUACGGGAGGCAGCAGUGGGGAAUAUUGCACAAUGGGCGAAAGCCUGAUGCAGCCAUGCCGCGUGUGUGAAGAAGGCCUUCGGGUUGUAAAGCACUUUCAGCGAGGAGGAAAGGUUACUGGCUAAUAUCCAGUAGCUGUGACGUUACUCGCAGAAAAAGCACCGGCUAACUCCGUGCCAGCAGCCGCGGUAAUACGGAGGGUGCGAGCGUUAAUCGGAAUUACUGGGCGUAAAGCGUG
rnacentral:rRNA from 1 species